rnacentral:rRNA from 1 species
AUGAACGCUAGCUACAGGCUUAACACAUGCAAGUCGAGGGGCAGCAUGAACUUAGCUUGCUAAGUUUGAUGGCGACCGGCGCACGGGUGAGUAACACGUAUCCAACCUGCCGAUGACUCGGGGAUAGCCUUUCGAAAGAAAGAUUAAUACCCGAUGGCAUAGUUCUUCCGCAUGGUAGAACUAUUAAAGAAUUUCGGUCAUCGAUGGGGAUGCGUUCCAUUAGGUUGUUGGCGGGGUAACGGCCCACCAAGCCUUCGAUGGAUAGGGGUUCUGAGAGGAAGGUCCCCCACAUUGGAACUGAGACACGGUCCAAACUCCUACGGGAGGCAGCAGUGAGGAAUAUUGGUCAAUGGACGAGAGUCUGAACCAGCCAAGUAGCGUGAAGGAUGACUGCCCUAUGGGUUGUAAACUUCUUUUAUACGGGAAUAAAGUGAGGCACGUGUGCCUUUUUGUAUGUACCGUAUGAAUAAGGAUCGGCUAACUCCGUGCCAGCAGCCGCGGUAAUACGGAGGAUCCGAGCGUUAUCCGGAUUUAUUGGGUUUAAAGGGAGCGUAGGCGGACGCUUAAGUCAGUUGUGAAAGUUUGCGGCUCAACCGUAAAAUUGCAGUUGAUACUGGGUGUCUUGAGUACAGUAGAGGCAGGCGGAAUUCGUGGUGUAGCGGUGAAAUGCUUAGAUAUCACGAAGAACUCCGAUUGCGAAGGCAGCCUGCUGGACUGUAACUGACGCUGAUGCUCGAAAGUGUGGGUAUCAAACAGGAUUAGAUACCCUGGUAGUCCACACAGUAAACGAUGAAUACUCGCUGUUUGCGAUAUACAGUAAGCGGCCAAGCGAAAGCGUUAAGUAUUCCACCUGGGGAGUACGCCGGCAACGGUGAAACUCAAAGGAAUUGACGGGGGCCCGCACAAGCGGUGGAGCAUGUGGUUUAAUUCGAAGCAACGCGAAGAACCUUACCAGGUCUUGACAUCGAUCUAAAGGCUCCAGAGAUGGAGAGAUAGCUAUAGAGAAGACAGGUGGUGCAUGGUUGUCGUCAGCUCGUGCCGUGAGGUGUUGGGUUAAGUCCCGCAACGAGCGCAACCCUUAUCCUUUGUUGCCAGCGGUCCGGCCGGGAACUCAAAGGAGACUGCCAGUGAUAAACUGGAGGAAGGUGGGGAUGACGUCAAAUCAUCAUGCCCUUUAUGUCCUGGGCUACACACGUACUACAAUGGGUGUAACAGAGGGAAGCAACACAGCGAUGUGAAGCGAAACCCAAAAAGCACCCCCAGUUCGGAUUGAAGGCUGAAAUUCGCCUUCAUGAAGCCGGAAUUGCUAGUAAUGGCAGGUCAGCAUACUGCCGUGAAUACGUUCCCGGGCCUUGUACACACCGCCCGUCACACCAUGAGAGUUGGGGAUACCCGAAGCCUGUGAGCCAACAGUUAAAUGAGGCAGCAGUCGAAGGUAGAAUCAAUGAUUGGGGUG